rnacentral:tRNA from 1 species
GCAGUGGUGGUGCAGCGGUAGAAUCCUCACCUCCCAUGCAAGAGAAAUCCAGGUUCAAUCCCUGGCCAAUGCA